GAUGAACGCUGGCGGCAUGCCUAAUACAUGCAAGUCGAGCGAACAGACGAGGAGCUUGCUCCUCUGACGUUAGCGGCGGACGGGUGAGUAACACGUGGAUAACCUACCUAUAAGACUGGGAUAACUUCGGGAAACCGGAGCUAAUACCGGAUAAUAUAUUGAACCGCAUGGUUCAAUAGUGAAAGACGGUUUUGCUGUCACUUAUAGAUGGAUCCGCGCCGCAUUAGCUAGUUGGUAAGGUAACGGCUUACCAAGGCAACGAUGCGCAGCCGACCUGAGAGGGUGAUCGGCCACACUGGAACUGAGACACGGUCCAGACUCCUACGGGAGGCAGCAGUAGGGAAUCUUCCGCAAUGGGCGAAAGCCUGACGGAGCAACGCCGCGUGAGUGAUGAAGGUCUUCGGAUCGUAAAACUCUGUUAUUAGGGAAGAACAAAUGUGUAAGUAACUAUGCACGUCUUGACGGUACCUAAUCAGAAAGCCACGGCUAACUACGUG
rnacentral:rRNA from 1 species